UGUACACACCGCCCGUCACACCAUGGGAGUGGGUUGCUCCAGAAGUAGAUAGUCUAACCCUCGGGAGGACGUUUACCACGGAGUGAUUCAUGACUGGGGUGAAGUCGUAACAAGGUAGCCCUAGGGGAACCUGGGGCUGGAUCACCUCCUUAUACGA
rnacentral:rRNA from 1 species